AGUUAAACAGUACGUGAAAUUGUUGAAAGGGAAACGAUUGAAGCCAGUCGUACCUUCGGGUAAUCAGCCUUUCGGGUGCGAUUCUGUGGAGUGUGAGGAGCUUAAACACCUUCAUGUUUUGCAUAUUCGUACUCUUGGGUGUACUUGCCCGUGUGGUUGGUUAACAUCAAUUUUGGUGGUCAUAAAAUGACUGGAGGAAUGUAGCUUCGAUCUUGUAUUGAAGUGUUAUAGCCUUCGGUAGAUGUGAUGAUCGAGAUUGAGGAUUGCAACGGAUACCCUUCGGGGCUACCUGUCUGAUCUCUGAUCGUUGCUCUGGUGCCGAAAGCUUGCUUACGGUUAUCAAAGUCGAUGGUCAAUAGGUUAGAACGGGUUAAAUUCGUUAAGGAUGUUGACGUAAUGGCUUUAAA
rnacentral:misc_RNA from 1 species